CCUACGGGAGGCAGCAGUGAGGAAUAUUGGUCAAUGGACGCGAGUCUGAACCAGCCAAGUAGCGUGCAGGAUGACUGCCCUAUGGGUUGUAAACUUCUUUUAUAUGGGAAUAAAAUGUUAUACGUGUGGGAUUUUGUAUGUACCAUAUGAAUAAGGAUCGGCUAACUCCGUGCCAGCAGCCGCGGUAAUACGGAGGAUCCGAGCGUUAUCCGGAUUUAUUGGGUUUAAAGGGGGCGUAGGUGGAUUGUUAAGUUAGUGGUGAAAUUUUGCGGCUCAACCGUAAAAUUGCAGUUGAAACUGGCAGGCUAGAGGACAGUAGAGGUGGGCGGAAUGCGUGGUGUAGCGGUGAAAUGCAUAGAGAUCACGAAGAACACCGAUUGCGAAGGCAGCUCACUGGACUGCAACUGACACUGAGGCUCGAAAGUGUGGGUAUCAAACAGGAUUAGAUACCCGAGUAGUC
rnacentral:rRNA from 1 species